CAGAGGGUGCAAGCGUUGUUCGGAAUUACUGGGCGUAAAGCGCGUGUAGGCGGUCUGGCAAGUCGGUCGUGAAAGCCCUUGGCUUAACCAAGGAACUGCGAUCGAAACUACCGGACUGGAGUAUCGGAGGGGGUGGCGGAAUUCCCGGUGUAGAGGUGAAAUUCGUAGAUAUCGGGAGGAACACCUGUGGCGAAGGCGGCCACCUGGAAGAUUACUGACGCUGAGACGCGAAAGCGUGGGGAGCAAACAGGAUUAGAUACCCUGGUAGUCCACGCCGUAAACGAUGAGUGCUAGGUGUUGCGGGUAUUGACCCCUGCAGUGCCAAAGCUAACGCGUUAAGCACUCCGCCUGGGGAGUACGGUCGCAAGAUUA
rnacentral:rRNA from 1 species